UAUUUUAUAUACAGUGUUGCUAUAUUGAUUCAAACUGUUUUAAUUAUAUGAAGAUUGUGAUUUGUAGUGCUUUAUGCUGUUUCAAAUGUGUAGUUUUAUUUAUUUGACCCUGGUGAUCUAACAUUUGCAUGAUGAUUGAGAGAGUGGCAUUAAAUAGCUAUGCCUCAGUCUCAAACAAGUUAGGGUCGGUUGUAGGAAUCCUCACUGUUUCGUUUAAGCUCAACUCAUGUCAUCAUUGUUAGAAUAAAAGUAAAAGUGAAAAAUAAGCUAAUCUUAGUAGUUUAGUUGGUUGGCUAUGUGAACUUUCACCUUGUUGGUGAGGGUUCGAUUACCCACCUUGUAAUCCCCUCCCC